CCUGAGGUUAAUCCCGACAGACUCGUCACCGUAGGGUCAGGUCGUUGGAAACGCCUCAGAGAGUAAAUCUGUAGUUCGCUUUACCCACCUGUUCUGCUGUGAGCUCGGUGGGAUAUACUGCAGGACACAC
rnacentral:snoRNA from 1 species